AGCGUACACGGUGGAUGCCCUGGCAGUCAGAGGCGAUGAAGGACGUGCUAAUCUGCGAUAAGCGUCGGUAAGGUGAUAUGAACCGUUAUAACCGGCGAUUUCCGAAUGGGGAAACCCAGUGUGUUUCGACACACUAUCAUUAACUGAAUCCAUAGGUUAAUGAGGCGAACCGGGGGAACUGAAACAUCUAAGUACCCCGAGGAAAAGAAAUCAACCGAGAUUCCCCCAGUAGCGGCGAGCGAACGGGGAGCAGCCCAGAGCCUGAAUCAGUGUGUGUGUUAGUGGAAGCGUCUGGAAAGGCGCGCGAUACAGGGUGACAGCCCCGUACACAAAAAUGCACAUGCUGUGAGCUCGAUGAGUAGGGCGGGACACGUGGUAUCCUGUCUGAAUAUGGGGGGACCAUCCUCCAAGGCUAAAUACUCCUGACUGACCGAUAGUGAACCAGUACCGUGAGGGAAAGGCGAAAAGAACCCCGGCGAGGGGAGUGAAAAAGAACCUGAAACCGUGUACGUACAAGCAGUGGGAGCACGCUUAGGCGUGUGACUGCGUACCUUUUGUAUAAUGGGUCAGCGACUUAUAUUCUGUAGCAAGGUUAACCGAAUAGGGGAGCCGAAGGGAAACCGAGUCUUAACUGGGCGUUAAGUUGCAGGGUAUAGACCCGAAACCCGGUGAUCUAGCCAUGGGCAGGUUGAAGGUUGGGUAACACUAACUGGAGGACCGAACCGACUAAUGUUGAAAAAUUAGCGGAUGACUUGUGGCUGGGGGUGAAAGGCCAAUCAAACCGGGAGAUAGCUGGUUCUCCCCGAAAGCUAUUUAGGUAGCGCCUCGUGAACUCAUCUCCGGGGGUAGAGCACUGUUUCGGCAAGGGGGUCAUCCCGACUUACCAACCCGAUGCAAACUGCGAAUACCGGAGAAUGUUAUCACGGGAGACACACGGCGGGUGCUAACGUCCGUCGUGAAGAGGGAAACAACCCAGACCGCCAGCUAAGGUCCCAAAGUCAUGGUUAAGUGGGAAACGAUGUGGGAAGGCCCAGACAGCCAGGAUGUUGGCUUAGAAGCAGCCAUCAUUUAAAGAAAGCGUAAUAGCUCACUGGUCGAGUCGGCCUGCGCGGAAGAUGUAACGGGGCUAAACCAUGCACCGAAGCUGCGGCAGCGACACUAUGUGUUGUUGGGUAGGGGAGCGUUCUGUAAGCCUGUGAAGGUGUGCUGUGAGGCAUGCUGGAGGUAUCAGAAGUGCGAAUGCUGACAUAAGUAACGAUAAAGCGGGUGAAAAGCCCGCUCGCCGGAAGACCAAGGGUUCCUGUCCAACGUUAAUCGGGGCAGGGUGAGUCGACCCCUAAGGCGAGGCCGAAAGGCGUAGUCGAUGGGAAACAGGUUAAUAUUCCUGUACUUGGUGUUACUGCGAAGGGGGGACGGAGAAGGCUAUGUUGGCCGGGCGACGGUUGUCCCGGUUUAAGCGUGUAGGCUGGUUUUCCAGGCAAAUCCGGAAAAUCAAGGCUGAGGCGUGAUGACGAGGCACUACGGUGCUGAAGCAACAAAUGCCCUGCUUCCAGGAAAAGCCUCUAAGCAUCAGGUAACAUCAAAUCGUACCCCAAACCGACACAGGUGGUCAGGUAGAGAAUACCAAGGCGCUUGAGAGAACUCGGGUGAAGGAACUAGGCAAAAUGGUGCCGUAACUUCGGGAGAAGGCACGCUGAUAUGUAGGUGAGGUCCCUCGCGGAUGGAGCUGAAAUCAGUCGAAGAUACCAGCUGGCUGCAACUGUUUAUUAAAAACACAGCACUGUGCAAACACGAAAGUGGACGUAUACGGUGUGACGCCUGCCCGGUGCCGGAAGGUUAAUUGAUGGGGUUAGCGCAAGCGAAGCUCUUGAUCGAAGCCCCGGUAAACGGCGGCCGUAACUAUAACGGUCCUAAGGUAGCGAAAUUCCUUGUCGGGUAAGUUCCGACCUGCACGAAUGGCGUAAUGAUGGCCAGGCUGUCUCCACCCGAGACUCAGUGAAAUUGAACUCGCUGUGAAGAUGCAGUGUACCCGCGGCAAGACGGAAAGACCACGUGAACCUUUACUAUAGCUUGACACUGAACAUUGAGCCUUGAUGUGUAGGAUAGGUGGGAGGCUUAGAAGUGUGGACGCCAGUCUGCAUGGAGCCGACCUUGAAAUACCACCCUUUAAUGUUUGAUGUUCUAACGUUGACCCGUAAUCCGGGUUGCGGACAGUGUCUGGUGGGUAGUUUGACUGGGGCGGUCUCCUCCUAAAGAGUAACGGAGGAGCACGAAGGUUGGCUAAUCCUGGUCGGACAUCAGGAGGUUAGUGCAAUGGCAUAAGCCAGCUUGACUGCGAGCGUGACGGCGCGAGCAGGUGCGAAAGCAGGUCAUAGUGAUCCGGUGGUUCUGAAUGGAAGGGCCAUCGCUCAACGGAUAAAAGGUACUCCGGGGAUAACAGGCUGAUACCGCCCAAGAGUUCAUAUCGACGGCGGUGUUUGGCACCUCGAUGUCGGCUCAUCACAUCCUGGGGCUGAAGUAGGUCCCAAGGGUAUGGCUGUUCGCCAUUUAAAGUGGUACGCGAGCUGGGUUUAGAACGUCGUGAGACAGUUCGGUCCCUAUCUGCCGUGGGCGCUGGAGAACUGAGGGGGGCUGCUCCUAGUACGAGAGGACCGGAGUGGACGCAUCACUGGUGUUCGGGUUGUCAUGCCAAUGGCACUGCCCGGUAGCUAAAUGCGGAAGAGAUAAGUGCUGAAAGCAUCUAAGCACGAAACUUGCCCCGAGAUGAGUUCU
rnacentral:rRNA from 1 species